GAUUUCCUGCAGCAACAGUUA
rnacentral:misc_RNA from 1 species